CCACACGUCAAUCUGGUGCCAGAGGAAAACAUGGACAAUUAUCAGGAGCUGGAGAGGCCGAAGGACACUGAUCCUUACCAGGCGCUUGA